rnacentral:lncRNA from 1 species
AAACAUGACAUUUUUAUUUAUAAAAGGAAGAAAAACAUUUUGUUUAAAACAUGCAAAGGAGGAAAAAAAAGGCUCAAGUUGUCAUGUUUGUUCAUGAUUUGAUUAUCUGUAUUUAUCUAUUUAUUGUUAUAACCACUAGAAGUAUGUCACAUUUUACACCAUUUUUUAACUUUCCUAAUUUAUUUUAUAGAAUAUUUUAUCACCUAUUAGUAACAUUUUUUAUUUUUUUUUACAAUGCAGAAACUGAUAUUCGCUGCCGUUUUUACUAUGAUUGUCCGCGACUUGAAUAUCAUUUCUGUGAGUGCAUUGAAGAUUUUUGCGCAUACAUAAGAUUGAAUUAGUAAAUUUUAAAAAUAAGGGUUAAUUAAGUAAAUGAACUCUAAAAAUAUGUAAAAUUCUAUUUUUAGUUCUUAUAAAAAGAAUCUUACUUUUAGUCCCUAUAACAUUUUGCUAUAGUAUUUGUAGGGAUAAAAAAUGCUAAUAGAAGUUUUUAAAUGGACUCAAAAUGCCGAUGAAAUUUUGUACAUGAACUAUAAAUGCUGACUUUUUGAAGGACAAUAAAUUAUGAUUUUUUCGUAAGGACUAAAAACAAAUUUUUAGAUAUUUAUAAGGACUAUUUACUUAAUUAAUUCUAAAAAAUAAAUAUGUUACCUCCAAGUGAAUUUUUUUUUAUUUUUACAUCAUAAUGUUUGUUGGGUCAUAUCCGGCCCUAGUUUUUUAGAGAGAGAAACUCCAACUUCUCUCUAAAUUUUAUUUCUCUUUCACUCGUCGAGGAGGAGUGGUUUUAGGUCAUUUUUUGACCUAAAAUCACCCCUUUGCAUCCUUUUUCUCUUUUCUUUCAAUUUAAAUAAGUGAUUUUCACGUAUAUCAAGUGCUUUCUUUUGUACUUUUUUCGUGAUUUCGUCGUCUGUGUGCGACGUUGUGUUGUUCGUCGUCUUGUGCGGCGUUGUUUGAUUUCGCGUCCUGUUGCGGUGUUUGUUUAGCUCAUCUUGAAAGAUCAGCUUUAGUCAAUCACAGAUUCAAUCGAUGAUUUGGACGCCGACGUUGCAGAUCCGAAAUCAUGAGUAUUUUGGUGAUUUAGAUUUCAUUAUAUUUUUUCAUAGGUAUUUUGCCGCUAUAUGCUAUUAACUUGGAUGUUGUGAGUUUGUUCGCAGAUUCAUCCUUUACGACAGUGUAAUGAUCAAACAAUCAUGAUGUUCAAUCAAUCUCAUUAAAGAGUGAAUCAAAACAUCUUUCAUCCAUAAUCGACUGUGAAUUUCUUCUUCUUUUUCAAUAAUGCUAGUUUCAAUUUUCUUCUUCUUGUUCAACUGCACUAUACGACAAUUUCAAUUUUACAUUGUUGAGGUUAACUUAAAUUCAGUUUAAGUAGGUUCAUGUAAACUUAGUUUACGUAACUUACUUAAACUUAGUUUACAUAACCGACUUAAACUAAGUUUACAUGUACAUACUUUAACUGAGAUUACGCAGAAUCAUUGAACAAGGUUGAACUUUUAGAUGUACACUUAAACUCAGUUUACAUGACUUACUUAAACUGAGUUUACAUGACAUAUUUAAACUAAGUUUAAGUAAGUACACUUAAACUCAGUUUACAUGAUAUACUUAAACUAAGUUUACAUGACCUACUUAAACUGAUUUUACAUGACCUACUUAAACCGAGUUUAAGUAUGUACACUUAAACUAAGUUUACAUGACCUAGUUAAACUAAGUUUACAUGACCUACUUAAACUAAGUUUAAGUAUGUACACUUAAACUCAGUUUACAUGACCUAACAUGACUUACUUAAACUGAAGAGGGGUUUUGGGGUGUACCGAGAAGAAGGAAGAGGCUUUUUAAAAUUAAAUUUUAUGAAAGGGUAAUUUUGUUAUUUUGGGGUGCAACCAGGAUUAAACAGGGUGUGAUUAGAAAAACUCACUAGUCAAUCUAUAUUGAUUGGAUUUGUCGAUUUUCAACGGUGAAAGUGUAUUUUUUUUUCUUCUUUUAAACAACCAAAGAUUUUGAAUUAAAAUAUUGACGAUCGUCUUUAUUCUAAAAUUAGAGUAUAUAUAUUAUGUUUUGAAAGCAUUUUCCAAAAAUAAGGAUCUGAAUCAAUGCCUCAUUUUAUAAAUUACUUUCCUAUAAUGAGUUUUCUAAUCAAAUCAUACACUUUGUAAAACAUGAAACAAUGUACAAGCAUUCAUUUCUUAGGGCAAUAUCAUUUACAGUAGUACACAUUAUAAAGUAGAGAAAAUAAACAAGUAAGACUCUACAACCAAAACUUCAAAGCUGAUUUUAAACCCUAAAUUGAGAUAACAGGGUGUGAGAUCCACCAAUGGCAUCAAGACAAACUUUCUCCAACCACCAAUGCAGUCACCUCCCUUCCAUGUGUUCAACAUCAUCACUAUUUCCACAACUAAGAUACUAAGAAAGUCUAGAGCAUCCAGAUUUUCACAUGUAAAAUAGAUGGUCAUGAUCUAAAAACAACAUACGUACAAAAACACAACAUGCAUGCAAGCAUAGAUGACAUGGUAAAUAGAAGGUUUUUCACAUGAGAGUGACGCCAAUCCUAGGUAUUUCACAUGCAUAUGGUUCAUGAAUUAACCACUAUGUAGAGAGUCGUACAAAAUUGGGGUAGCUCUCUACAUAAGGGUAUCCCGGACAAAAUGUGACUCCUCUAGAAUUUCAUCUUAACAUCUUUCAAAAUGUGUUAAGUCCUCUAAUGACCUUAAACACGACAAAAGUAACUCUGAAGAAAUUCUUAUUCAUUAGAGACUUUUCUUUCUAACAAUUUUUCUGCUCAAAACAUUUUCUGACAUUUAGCCAAGAAAUUUUUCCUUAGAACAUACUGUUCUCAAGACAUUUUAAAGGUAGAAAUGAUCUUAAAACACUUCUAGAACAAAUGAUGUUCAUAUGAAUAUUCUUGUUUUCAAAAUGUUUUCAUAAUUUUCUAAAAACAUGUUCAAAACGACAACAUAUAAUUUGUUUCUCUCAAAAAUUUGAGAAAGUUUCCAUUGUUCAUACAACAUUUAAAAGAGCUAUAGACUCGGUCACCAUGUACAAAUUUGAUUUAAAAUUAAUUAGUGCAUUCAAUAACUCAAGACAAUUAACAUAAAUUUUGUCGUCAGUCACAUUUCGAGUUCGAUUCUAAGGGCCUGUUUGAAUUAGCUUAUUUUAGAGCUUUUAUAAAACAGUUUAUGCAAAUAAAUAAGUUUUUAUGUAUUAUUUAUAAAUUUUUUACGUAGUUUAUGAAAAAACCAUUUAUGAAGAUACAAUUUUCAUUAGUGAAAGUUUAUAAAUUAAAAUAAAAACUUAUAUAUUUACAUAAGCUCAAAUCAAACGAGGUUUAAAACCUUUAAGCAAAAAUCAUAACUUAAUGAAUUCACGUCUAAAUACCAUGUACCAUAGGGCCAUUUCGAAGAUUUCAAUGAGGUGAAUCCAUUGAUCAGAUCAUAUCAGCAUGAAGACACACAAAAACUAACCAUUUUACCCUUUUUGGUUCGGCUAAUACGAAAACUACACCAAAAUUAUUAUUUUUUGUCAAAAAAACCAAAUCAAUACAUUAGUAGAUCUUCUCAAUAUAAGAAUAUCCAUGUAAAUAAAAUAACACUUUGACACUUUUCCAAGAUCAUCAAAAUUUUGAAAAUACUCAGAAUCAAAUUUUUCUUUAGGAUAUAUUAUUACUUAAACCCGAUCUAAAAUAUUAAUAAGGAGGAAAAUGGAAAAAAAAUCCAUUCAUAAUAAAAAGUAGGCUUCAAGAGGGAGAUCCAUUUUCUUUUCAAGCUAAACCAUAUAACCACUAAAUUAUAAUGGAAACAAGAAAUAUAUUCUUCCAACAAUUAUCCCUUUAGCUUUUUUUUUUUAUUUUAUUUUUUUUAUUGAAAGGAAUUUGUACUCAAUAUAUACAAAGUCUACCUAGAAUCAAUAUUUUUAUUUCGUGAUAAAAAUGUGUAUUUGAUGGCUUAUCAACCAAGACUUUGUUUGAAUUGCUUAUGGUAUUGGAACCGUGAUUUUGGACUCUUUAAAACUAAUGACUUGAUGAAAAAUAAUGGUUAAAUUAAUAGGCAAAAUGUGCAAUCUAUUAUUGGCUUUCAAUGGCUCUAAUGUUUCGGUUCAUUAUUUUUCAUCAUUCAUAACGGCUGUUCCUCCUGAGUUUUGACCCUUGUAUAUUUUUUUUUGUUUACAAAAUUUUAG